rnacentral:misc_RNA from 1 species
UUUCCGUAGGUGAACCUGCGGAAGGAUCAUUACUGAGUGAGGGCCCCUCGGGGUCCAACCUCCCACCCGUGUUUAACGAACCUUGUUGCUUCGGCGGGCCCGCCUCACGGCCGCCGGGGGGCAGCUGCCCCCGGGCCCGCGCCCGCCGAAGCCACCUGUGAACGCUGUCUGAAGUAUGCAGUCUGAGACAAUUAUUAAAUUAAUUAAAACUUUCAACAACGGAUCUCUUGGUUCCG